AUGUCACGACCCGGAACUCCCCAUCGGGCCCGUGACAACCGCCGCGAGGCCUCGACAGACAUUCUUCACCCCGAAUGUCGAUUGAAACCUCGCAAGGCUUAGCAUCAACUUCCGCAUCUCCCCGGUGAGCAACAGUUAUUAAAUCUCGCAUUUCAAAAAAUCAUAAGUCAUUUUUAAAUAAGAACAAUAAAAUAUUAUUUUCUGGCUCACAAGGGUAUUUUCAUAAUUUUUCGUCAAAAAUCUCAAAACUUGCUAAAAAUGUAGUAGGUAAGCAGAAAAUAUAAAUUUAAUGAUUUAAAAACAAUUAAGUAUCUAAAACGUUCAUUUGAAAGUAAAUUGUUGACAACUAGUACUAUUCAAAAAUAAUAAAUAAAAUAUUCUAUUUUCUCAUAAAAUAAAUUUUUAUAGAAAUAUUCGUAAAUAAUUUUUCGCACAUGAAAGUAAAGUAAAAAUUGUAUGAAUAGAAAUACAGAUAACCAAAAUAUAAGUUUUGAUAUGCAAUGACACGUGGGCUCCAAUUGACCAAGAGGAUGUAAGAUUGUGAACUCUUACUUUCUAUAAUGCAGUUCCGAGCUUAGUUCUCGUCUUACUUGACUAUCUACAAACUGUCCUAAGCCUGAAAAAUGUAUAGGAAGGAGGGGUGAGAUUUUAUAAUCCCAGUGAGUAAACAGAUACCAUCUAAAGCAUCUAAAGUCGAGUAAAUGGAGACAAUUAAAAUAAGUCAUCAUACUGUAAUUUCAUUACCUUUCAGUUCAUUUCAACCAAAUAAAAUCAAUCCAUAUAAAUCGAGUAAUCAACUUGGCUUAUGAAUUUCUU
rnacentral:lncRNA from 1 species